UCUUAUCAAACACAUGGGAAUGGGAUGGGUCACGGGUGCUUUUGCUUUCUAAAGACAGAAGAACCCUCUCUCUCUACAAUUACAACCCAUAAACCACCUAACCCUUUAUCUCUCUUUUAUUUUCUGUCUCAUCUCUCUCUACAAUUACAACCCGUAAACCACCUAACCCUUUAUCUCUCUUUUAUUUUCUGUCUAUCUCUCUCUCUCUCUCUCUCUCUCUCUUCUCUCUCUCUCUCUACAACCUAGAAACCGGCACCUUCCACUCAAUCCACCACCACCUAACCCACAAACGUCCUUACUCACUCUCUCUCAUCUCAUUUUGCCUUUCUCAUCUUCCUUCACUCAGUCUCAGACGCUCUCUUUCUUUCUCUUGGAUUCGAAGCCUCAGCAGCGACCCACUGUAUGAUAAUCUCACUCCGAUGAACUCUCUCCACGCCGGCCACCACCACACCUCACGGCUUCAUCCCCACCUCCGGUUCUCUCCAGUGAUUCUGUGUGUGGGAUUUCGAAUUAAAGUUAGGGUUUCGAAUUGGGGGCUCGGGUUCGGAUGAUUUCAAUUUCAAUCUAGAUGAUUUGGAUUCUGAUGCAGGUUCGGUUUCGGGAAAUUCCGAAAUACCGAAAAUAUUUCGGGAAUCCCGAAAUUUCGGUUCGGGAUCGGUCAUGAGAUUUUCGUCCUGAAAAUUUUCGGAUCGGAAUUUGAUAUGCCAUUUUUGGUUUAGUAUCCCAUACCAAACCAGCAUUUAGGUACCGCUAUCAGGACGUUACGAUGGUGUUGCACUCAUUUAUGUAAGUCGGAAACCAUUUGGUGGCCAUAAGCAGCAGUAUUGGAUUAUCGUUAAUGUAAUCUUAUGUUUAGCACUUAAGGCUCAAUCUUAUUACUCUGGACUCAAAUUUCGGACCCAAGACCUCCUAACUAAGCUGGACACCGACCUAGGACCUAGCACUUGAAGACCGAACCGAGGGUAUCAAAACGCAACUUCAAAUGAUAUUGUUCAAUGAAGACACCUCUUUAAUCUUAUGUUAUGCAAAAUAUUAACAUUGUAUGGUUAUUAGAAUGGGAAAUUUUAUUUAAACCCUGCAAUCUCUUUUUACCCUCAACUUAAAUUAUAGAUGUUAAUUGUUUUUUUUAAUCUCAUUGUAUAAUUACCAUCAAGUAUAAUAUGAAAUUAAUAAUAAAACCAAAAUUUA